rnacentral:misc_RNA from 1 species
CAGAGUUCAUGCCCUCCGGGGUAGAUCUCCCACCCUUGUGUAUCAUUAUAAAAUGUUGCUUUGGCGGGCCGCAAGCCUGGCUUGCCCGGAUUCGCGUCCGGCGUGCCCGCCAGAGGAUCCUAAACUCUGAUUGUUAGUGUCGUCUGAGUACUAUUAAAUAGUUA